rnacentral:lncRNA from 1 species
GAGGAAUUGGCUUUGGGGGUGACCAGAGAGAUAUACCUGCUGGAGCGCAUGCUACAGUGUGAACCGUGGGUGGGACGCUAGCGUCCCACCUCCCCAAGAGAGGAUAACACAGUGUCGAAAGAAGGGCCAGAAGUAUACAGAAUGGUGUCGUCUGCGUAGAAGUGGAUCAGAGACUCACCAGCAGCAAGAGCGACAUCAUUGAUGUAUACAGAGAAAAGAGUUGGCCCAAGAAUUGAACCCUGUGGCACCCCCAUAGAGACUACCAGAGGCCUGGACAACAGGACAUCCGAUUUGACACAUUGAACUCUAUCAGAGAAGUAGUUGGUGAACCAGGUCAAAAGUCUCCAUUAGCUUGUGCCACAUUCAGACAACACGACUAUGUAUGGGCUUGUGAACAACAAGCAUGGCAGGGAUUGGCAUCUGUGAGGGAGUACCCGGUUGGCCAGCCCAUGCUUGGAACAGUGGGAUCCUCCGGUGGUCUGCCCUGGCCAGGCUGUCCACUAAUCCUACCCUGGAAUUGCCCGCUUCUGCCCAGUCUGCCCAGCUCAGUGUGCCCACCCUGCGCCGUGGAGCCACAUUACCAUCAGGGGUUAGGCUUCUAAUGCUG